AUUGAACGCUGGCGGCAUGCCUUACACAUGCAAGUCGAACGGUAACGGGCCUUCGGGUGCCGACGAGUGGCGAACGGGUGAGUAAUACAUCGGAACGUGCCCGAUCGUGGGGGAUAACGAGGCGAAAGCUUUGCUAAUACCGCAUACGAUCUACGGAUGAAAGCAGGGGACCGCAAGGCCUUGCGCGGACGGAGCGGCCGGUGGCAGAUUAGGUAGUUGGUGGGAUAAAAGCUUACCAAGCCGACGAUCUGUAGCUGGUCUGAGAGGAUGAUCAGCCACACUGGGACUGAGACACGGCCCAGACUCCUACGGGAGGCAGCAGUGGAGAAUUUUGGACAAUGGGCGCAAGCCUGAUCCAGCCAUGCCGCGUGCAGGAUGAAGGCCUUCGGGUUGUAAACUGCUUUUGUACGGAACGAAAAGCCUUCUUUUAAUACAGGAGGGUCAUGACGGUACCGUAAGAAUAAGCACCGGCUAACUACGUG
rnacentral:rRNA from 1 species